rnacentral:misc_RNA from 1 species
CUGUCAAUUGCUUAAAAAAAAUGCUCACGAGGAUGAUGAUGAUGGUGCGAACGCCAAGGAUAUUGAAAAUCUUGUGAGCCUAGGUUUGUCAAUGUCAAUAACAACGACAGGAUCAGUAUGCAUCUUCGAAAUCCCUGACAUUCCUCGUGGCCAAAACCAAAAAGCCUAUGUUCCCAUUGCAUUCUCAAUUGGGCCCCGGCAUCACGACAGUCCAAAGCUAAGCGCCAAUGAUAAAUUGAAAACACUGUAUACGCGAGACCUCAUUUCCAAAGACAGGAACACCAAGG